AUUGAACGCUGGCGGCAUGCUUUACACAUGCAAGUCGAACGGUAACAGGCCUUCGGGUGCUGACGAGUGGCGGACGGGUGAGUAAUGCAUCGGAACGUGCCCAGAGGUGGGGGAUAACGCAGCGAAAGCUGUGCUAAUACCGCAUGUGAUCUGAGGAUGAAAGCGGGGGACCAAGCAGCAAUGUUUGGCCUCGCGCCUCUGGAGCGGCCGAUGUCAGAUUAGGUAGUUGGUGGGGUAAAUGCCUACCAAGCCGACGAUCUGUAGCUGGUCUGAGAGGACGACCAGCCACACUGGGACUGAGACACGGCCCAGACUCCUACGGGAGGCAGCAGUGGGGAAUUUUGGACAAUGGGCGCAAGCCUGAUCCAGCAAUGCCGCGUGCGGGAAGAAGGCCUUCGGGUUGUAAACCGCUUUUGUACGGAACGAAAAGGCUCUGGCUAAUACCUGGGGCUGAUGACGGUACCGUAAGAAUAAGCACCGGCUAACUACGUG
rnacentral:rRNA from 1 species